rnacentral:rRNA from 1 species
UGAGGAAUAUUGGUCAAUGGACGCAAGUCUGAACCAGCCAAUUAGCGUGCAGGAUGACGGCCCUAUGGGUUGUAAACUGCUUUUAUAUUGGGAUAAAGUGGGGAACGUGUUCCCUUUUGCAGGUACCAUAUGAAUAAGGACCGGCUAAUUCCGUGCCAGCAGCCGCGGUAAUACGGAAGGUUCGGGCGUUAUCCGGAUUUAUUGGGUUUAAAGGGAGCGUAGGCCGUUUGGUAAGCGUGUUGUGAAAUGUAGGAGCUCAACUUCUAGAUUGCAGCGCGAACUGUCAGACUUGAGUGCGCACAACGUAGGCGGAAUUCAUGGUGUAGCGGUGAAAGGCUUAGAUAUAAAGAAGAAAUCCGAUUGCGAAGGCAGCUUACGGGAGCGAAACUGACGCUGAAGCUCGAAGGUGCGGGUAUCGAACAGG